CCUACGGGAGGCAGCAGUCGGGAAUAUUGCGCAAUGGAGGAAACUCUGACGCAGUGACGCCGCGUGAAGGAAGAAGGUCUUCGGAUUGUAAACUGCUUUAGACAGGGGAGAAAAAAGACAGUACCUGUAGAAUAAGCUCCGGCUAACUACGUGCCAGCAGGCGCGGUAAUACGGAGGGAGCAAGCGUUAUCCGGAUUGAUUUGGAGUAAAGGGUGCAUUGAAUGAGUAGUAAGUUAGGUGUGAAAUCUCUCGGCUUAACUGAAGAACUGCAACUAAAACUACUCACCUUGAGUACUGGGUAGGAUAGUGGAAUUCCUAGGGUAGCGGUGAAAUGCGUAGAUAGUAGGAGGAAAACCAGUUGCGAAGGCGACUUUCUUGACAGUACCUGACGUUGGGGCACGAAAGUGUGGGGAGCAAACCGGAUUAGAUACCCCGGGUAGUC
rnacentral:rRNA from 1 species